rnacentral:rRNA from 1 species
GUAGUUAGCCGGGGCUUCCUCCUUGGCUACCGUCACUUUCUUCGUCACCAAGGACAGAGGUUUACAAUCCGAAGACCUUCUUCCCUCACGCGGCGUUGCUGGGUCAGGCUUUCGCCCAUUGCCCAAUAUUCCCCACUGCUGCCUCCCGUAGGAGUCUGGACCGUGUCUCAGUUCCAGUGUGGCCGAUCAGCCUCUCAGCUCGGCUACCCAUCGUCGACUUGGUGGGCCGUUACCCCGCCAACUAUCUAAUGGGACGCGAACCCCUCCCUCUGCGGAUUGCUCCUUUGACCUCAUCCCGAUGCCGGGUCGUGGUCUUAUGCGGUAUUAGCACUUGUUUCCAGGUGUUAUCCCCCUCAGAAGGUCAGGUUGUUCACGCGUUACUCACCCGUUCGCCACUUGGUGUAAAACCGAAAUCUUACACCCCGUUCGACUUGCAUGUGUUAGGCACGCCGCCAGCGUUCGUCCUGAGCCAGGAUCAAACUCUGA